rnacentral:rRNA from 1 species
AGAACGAACGCUGGCGGCAGGCUUAACACAUGCAAGUCGAACGCGUGUAGCAAUACACGAGUGGCGCACGGGUGAGUAACGCGUGGAUAUCUGCCUUUUGGUUCGGAAUAACCCCGGGAAACUGGGGCUAAUACCGGAUGGUUCCUACGGGAUAAAGAUUUAUCGCCAAAAGAUGAGUCCGCGUCCGAUUAGCUAGUUGGUGGGGUAAUGGCCUACCAAGGCGACGAUCGGUAGCUGGUCUGAGAGGACGAUCAGCCACACUGGGACUGAGACACGGCCCAGACUCCUACGGGAGGCAGCAGUGGGGAAUAUUGGACAAUGGGGGCAACCCUGAUCCAGCCAUGCCGCGUGAGUGAUGAAGGCCUUCGGGUUGUAAAGCUCUUUUGGCGGGACGAUGAUGACGGUACCGCAGAAUAAGCCCCGGCUAACUUCGCGCCAGCAGCCGC